rnacentral:lncRNA from 1 species
GAGCUUCGCGGGCAGCUGACAGUGGUGCGCGUCGGUCCGGCAGCGGCGAGCUGGGGCCAAUGGGCGGCUGCAGAGCGAGGGCGGGCCGGCCGGCGGCACUGUGGUGGCCCCGGGGGGAUAAAAGCUGGGUCCCGCCACGACAAGGCUUGCCGGGUCGGGAGACUGCGCCGGGGGAAGGAGGAGUGCUGGGGGCGGUGUGUGUCCUUCAGGAUGGUGGGGAAAGCUGAUAGCUGCAUCAGGGUGAGACUGAAGGUAACUGACAAAGGAAGAGGACUGACCUGGGAUGAAGCAAUCCUGGUUUUGUGUUGGACUGUGUGAAUGAAGAGCAUAUGAGGUACCAGUGAUAGCUACUGAGAGCUGGUAUGUGACCAUGGCCAGAAAACGGUCUGAGAUAAUGUUGGUAAACAGUCAUGUGCUUCAAACACUGUAGAGCUGGCUCCUCCAAGUUCAUGUCAGAGAACAUGAGUUUAGGCAGCUCUACAGAGUUGCACACAGCUCAAUAACAGAUGUCAAUAUAAUACAACAUAGAAAUCAACCCCCACUGGGAAGUGUGGUUAUGUGUACCUACAGAAAAUUCAGGGGCAACUGUGGCUCACUGCAGGGGGAAAACGGUACUGAAUUGUUGUGGUUUAACCCAGAAGGCAGCUAAAUGCCACGCAACUGUUCAUUCACUUCCCCCUUCCUCCAUCCUCAGUGGGAUGUGUCUCACUCCAAUUUAUCUGAGGGAGAGAAGGUUCUUUGAUGCCCUUUGCCUCCCCACCCACCUCCUGCUCACCUGGGGGGGGGGGCAAAGGCAUCUGCUUUCCUUGAGCUUCUUGAGUUUUUGUUCUGGCCACCAGUUAACCAGUUCCUCUAACCUGACUGUGGGUCAAGUCUUGUGGAACACCCUUUUGCCAGCCCAGUAUUCAGAGACAGUUACGUUUAUGAUCAAUAUUUCGCCUACCUGUUUUUACUGGCAGUGAUACCCUUCCAGUCUCACUGAGCUUUGGGCUAGGUGGCCUGGGGCAAGGCUGACUGCUGCAAGCCUCACGCCCGUUGGCUCAAAUUUACUGGAGGAAGAAACCACUGGUCCAUAUAUUCUCCCAUAGUUAAUUAACUCUUGGGCAACCUCCCUCCCCGUCCAUACUUUGUAUCCCAACUGCAGAGGGAUUAGGGGUUACAGUUCCUUCUAAUACUGCCUGGGUUCUUUCUCCCUGAGAUAUAGCCUGUAUCUUUCCUUGCAGUUGUAUGCCUAUAGGUUUUAACGACUCUGGAAGCCCCCUAAUUAAAGGGGUCAUCCUCUCAGGAUCAACAGGCAUCAUCAUAGGUGAUUCAUGGUAUGGAUGCAGCUUUCUGUCAUACAUCAUUUGGAGGCAGGCAGCCUUUUGAACAUUCUCUACUAAGUGAUCAGCUGUUUCAGUAAUGGCAAGAGACCACUUGCCCAAAAGGCAGCUCUCUGUGUUAAUGACCAGGGAGCACGAUUGUUGCCAGUAGUUAAAAAUACUCCUGGUCCCCAAUAUUUUUCAGCUUCUUUUUCGGUUAACAGAAUUUGGUCUCUACCAGUGAGAGUAACCAUCCAUACAUACUCUGUCUCAGAUUCCUUUGGAGAGUGGCUAAAAUCUCUUUUCAGUUUUGCUAGUUCGGUGGCUGAGAAGGGAAUUUCUUUAACAUUCAGUUGAGGAUGUAGGUCCUCACUGUUAUCGAAUGUAUAUUCGGUUUUUAUCAAAGGACGCAAUGGGGCUAUUGGGGUUUCUAAUUUAUCUAGCCUUUCCUUCAUUCCUUCUAGUUCCUCCUGAGGGUAAGUUUUUUCUUGAGGUGCACUAUGGAUAACAGUUCCUUAAAAGCCAUUUGCAACAAAGCUGAAUUAUGUUUCUCUCUUUCUAAUUGUUCCUCAAGGUUCACUGUUUGAUUCUGCAGAGUUUUUACCAAUUCUUUUUUCACUAUAACUGAUUCCUGCAAUGCUUGUAUAGUUUGGGUUUCUGCCAAAUGCUUUUCAUCUCGGAACUUCACGGCUGCUUUCAAAGCAGCACCAAGUACUGCACAAAUAACCAAUUUUCCUUUUCCAGCUCGGGUACGAGCCUUAUUUUGUAGAACCCUUAUACGUUCUGAAACACUUUGCAAGUUAUGCCAGUUUUGUCGUGCCCAAUCCACCCCUGAUAAAGAGGGCCGAGCACCAUGUUUUUCUAAAAGGUCAAAAAACACAUCUUCACUUUUCAUAGUGACAAUACUGUUGCUCAUUUCUCAAUAUACAGAAAGAUCUACACUGAGGGAGGAGGAGAUACACCUAUUCAAAAGCUCAAAUAACUCCUUACCCCCCCCUCUAGGGAGGUAUGCACACCUCUCAGACAAAUGGAAAUGUUCCAAUCACUCCUCCCUUCCCUGCGAUGCUACACAGAAAAACCUCACAAACACCGCACCUAAGUUAGAAGACACCCUUCAGGUUCAAAAUGUGCAGUUAAGUUUCAAUAUAUAAAAUUAUCUUCCUGGAGAGAUGCUCACGUCUGAGUUUUCAAAAUUAUUACUCCUUGUAACUCCAGGAGGUGCACACAGAAAAGGUUUAAAUUUCACACUUAAGUUACAAGAUACUUAAAUCACAAGAUGCAGAGUGGUCUUCCUGAGGAGUCACGUGCAUAUUCAAAAUUAAUUCAUAUGUCCCCAAAAGGUAUACACAUAAACAGUGAAGUUUCAGAAUAUGGAGAGAUUAUCCUGGAGAGAUACUCACGUCUAAGUUUUCAAAAAUUUUGCUCCUUGCACCUCCAGGAGGUACACACAGAAAAGUUUCAGACUAUAUCUGGAGGGACAACACUCUCACAGGGGGUAUCCUGCCGACUAUGCCCCUAAAUAAAUGUCUUGCUCCAAUUUAUAGGAGGGAGAGGAGGUUCUUUGAUAUAUGUAUACCUGGCAUGAGAUUAAGACACAACGGUUCAAAUGUUGGUCUGGCCAGUUUAUUACAAAUCCUAGUCGUUCAGGGAGAAGAGAAAAAGGGCAAUAGAAAAGAUAGGAAAUAGAAGCAAGGAGUCUUUGUAGGAAGCAAGAGGGAGAUAGUCACCACCAUGGGUCCAACGUGGUUUGUAGUUCAGUCAUCGAUCUUCAGUAGUGGUGGGUUGUCAGGCAUUGUUGUCCUGUUAACGACGAUGACGGUGACCACAGCGACAAUUUCCAAUGGCAGUACAAACUUAUAAGUCCAAAGUGGUUGAGUCAGCUCUCCUUGGAGUGGCAGCUUCUGGCUCUGGGAUCUCAGCAGAAACUCCUUUGUUCCCAUCUUCUGGGCCUUGCCAGCAGAUAAGAGGGAGCAGGGAUGCCCACCUGCAUCCUGUUUUUCACAGGACACUAUGGUGUCAUUCCCCAGUUUUCCCAUACCAAGCUGGGGCUAUUUAGUCACAGGCUAGAUCUUCCACCAGUAAACACUCCUGAGCACUCUAUUCUGGAGGUGAACAGCUCUGGAGGAAAGUGCUUUCAAAUGUAAAAUUGUCCACACAGUGACGUUCAUUGCCCCAUGGCAACACCUACCUCUCAUCUAAGUCAGUAUUGCAAGAAAUGUCUCAGAAAGCAAGCUUUGAGCCAAAAAACAAAGAAGGAUUCAUAUAGGGUGGAGAAGAGAAUCAGGGUGAGGGGAGAAAACAAACAAACAAACAAAAAUUUUAAGCCAUUUGUUAUUAAAGGAAGAAAAAAAAAAAGAUAAUUAUCAUUGCUAUGUAUAGCCACGAUGCAAUUGCUCAGCUAGUCAUUGGGAGCUGAUGCCCAGCCAGUCCCUGAGCAGUGGCUGCCUCCCCCGAUGAGCUUCCCACAGUUUUAUACUUCUUCAUGUGAUAUGUGGGGGCAAAGCAUCUGGGCACUGGGGGGCUCUGCUGAAACUGCUGAUCCUCCCAUGGUACUGCUCACCAAUGCAAUGCCCAUGUCUCGUUUUGCAGGUUCUAGGGGGUAAAGGUAGAAACCAAAGUACAGUGUGGGUCACUCGCUCUGCUCUGCUCUGCUCUCUGCUCUGUUGUGCAUGCUCUGCCUUGCCUCUUGAUCUGGAUGGUUUUUUUUUCUAGCUCUUAACCCCAGGCAAGCAGACAGAAGACACUGGAUUGAAUUAUUCUCCAUUACUUUUUGGUCUGAUUUUUGGGUGGUGCUGUGUGGAGCCAAGAGUUGGACUUAACGAUCCUUAUGGGAUCCUUCCAACCUGGGAUAUUCUGUGAUCACAUUGUACUGAAUAUCCUGUUGAUCAGUUUAGAUCAACUGUCAUAGAAGCUUUGAGACUGGAAAAGACCACUAGGAUCAUCUAGUCCAACCAUCAACCCAUCACCACCACGCCCACUAAACCAUGUCCCUCAGUGACAUAUUGUAGAGAAAGGCAAUAGCAGAUAUAGCUGCUUUAAAUCUGACUUCCAAAAAUUUCGUCAACAGGUCCAGGUCCUUGGAUCUUUUGUGGAUUGGCAGCACACCCUUUUUCUUGUAGGUAUUUUGAUAGGGAACCUACUGCUUUUUCAAGUGUUUCCAAAGAGACCGAAGUCAGAAUUAAGUCAUCAAUAUAAUGAUACAAUUUGACUAUCUGGUUUUUCCCACCCUACCAAAUCACAGGCUACCAAAUUAUGGCAGUAAAUUGGUGAAUGUGUAUAUUCUCGUGGUAGGACCUGAAAGGUCCACUGCCUACCUUCCCAUGUGAAUGCAAAUUGGUCUUGCAAUUUUUCAGUGAUGGGGAUACUAAAGAAUGCAUAUGCUAAGUCUAGGACACAAUGGUAGGUUUCUAACUCCCUCUCUCAACUCUAUCAUCACUGGCAUUAAUUUCCAGACAUUCACAUUUUUCCUUAACGUAAAGGGCCGCACCACUGCCUUUCCUGCCUUGUCCAUCUCUUUUGAAAAGUUGGUAGCCAUCAAUCGCAGCAUUCCAGCUGUGUGAGUCACAGAAUCUUAGAAUGGUCUAGGUUGAAAAGGACCACAAUAAUAAUAGAGUUUCAACCCCCCUGCUAUGCUCAGGGUUGCCAACCACUAGACCAGGCUUGCCCAGAGCCACAUCCAGCCUGGCCUUGAAUGCUUCCAGGGAUGGGACAUCCACAGCCUCCUUGAGCAACCUGUUCCAGUGCAUCACCAUCCUCUGAAUGAAAAACUUCCUCCUAAUAUCUAACCUAAACCUCCCCUGUCUCAGUUUAAAACUGUUCCCCUUUGUCCUGU